UCAUAUGCUUGUCUCAAAGAUUAAGCCAUGCAGGUGCAAGUACGAUCGAUAAUACAGAGAAACUGCGAAUGGCUCAUUAGAUCAGUUAUAAUUUGUUGGAUCAACAAUCCCUACUUGGAUAACUGUGGCAAUUCUAGAGCUAAUACAUGCAACGAAGCUCCGACGGUCGCUCCGUCCGAGCGCUCUUAUUAGUAGAACCACCGGUACUCGUACCGAAGAUGGUGACUCUGGAUAAUGCCGCCGAUCGCUAGGUCUCAUGCCUGCGACAAGUCCAAAAAGUAUCUGCCUUAUCAGCUGGUAGGUGUGCGACAUGCGCACCUAGGCUUCCACGGGUUGCGGAGAAUCUCGGGUUCGGUUCCGGAGAGGGAGCAUGAGAAACGGCUACCAGGUCCAAGGACCGCAGCAGGCACGCAACUUACCCACUCCCGACACGGGGAGGUAGUGACGAAAAAUACCAAUCCGGGACUCAGUUGAGGCUCCGGCAUUAGAAUGAGUACACUUUAAAUCCUUUGCUAAGGAUCAAUUGGAGGGCAAGCCUGGUGCCAGCAGCCGCGGUAAUUCCAGCUCCGAUGGCAUAUAUUAAAGUUGACGUAGUUAAAAGGCUCGUAGUUGGAUCUCAGCCGUUUAAACGAGGUGUACUUGACGGUGCAUCCCCGUACAGCCGCAUUGCGAUAGCCGAGUGUGCACCGGUGGUCUUCACUGACCGUCUGGGCGUGCUGGUUUAAUUUACUUUGAAAAAAAUAGAGUGUUCAUGGCGUUCAUGAUGAGCGCAUAGUGUUGCAUGGAAUAAUGAAAUAUGACCUCGGUUCAUUUCGUUGGCUUCGAUGAUUCCGUGGUAAUGACUAACAAGAGCGGCCGGGGGCAUUCGUAUUACUUGGGGAGAGGUGAAAUUCUACGAUCCUUGUAAGACGGACGGCAGCGAAAGCGUUUGUCAAGAACGCUUUCAUUAGUCAGGAACGAAAGUUAGAGGCUCGAAGACGAUCAGAUACCGUCGUAGUUCUGACCGUUAACGAUGCCAGAUGACAAUACGUCGAUGUUAGAUCCGCAUGACUCGACGCGUAGCCACUCCGGGAAACCAAAACUUUUGGGCUCUAGGGGAAGUAUGGUUGCAAAACUGAAACUUAAAGGAAUUGACGGAAGGGCACCACCAGGAGUGGAGCCUGUGGCUUAAUUUGACUCAACACGGGGCAACUCACCCGGUCCGAACAAACGGAAGGAUUGACAGACUGAUAGACCUUUCUUAAUCAGUGGAUGGUGGUGCAUGGCCGUUCUUAGUUCGUGGAUCGAUUUGUCUGGUUAAUUCCGAUAACGAACGAGACUCUAGCCUAUUAAAUAGUUGUGCGACACUACGGUGGUCGAUACGACAAAAACUUCUUAGAGAGACAGGUUGCGUUUAGUUACACGAGAAUGAGCAAUAACAGGUCUGUGAUGCCCUUAGAUGUUCGGGGCCGCACGCGGGCUACAAUGCUCGUGUCAGCGUGUACACCUCCUAGCCCGGAAUGGCAUGGCAAGCUCAUGAAAUGCGAAUUCAGUCGGGAUUGGGGCCUGCAACGGUGCCUCAUGAACGCGGAAUUCCAGGUAAGCGGGGGUCAACAGUUUCCGUUGACAAAGUCCCUGCCCUUUGUACACACCGCCCGUCGCUACUACCGAUGAACGGUCAGGUGAGACACUCGGAUUUGCCGGUGGAAAUUGUCACCGCUGGCGGAGAAGUAUGUCGAACUUGGUCGUUUAGAGGAAGUAAAAGUCGUAACAAGGUUUUC
rnacentral:rRNA from 1 species